rnacentral:rRNA from 1 species
AGUGAACGCUGGCGGUAGGCCUAACACAUGCAAGUCGAACGGCAGCACAGUAAGAGCUUGCUCUUACGGGUGGCGAGUGGCGGACGGGUGAGGAAUACAUCGGAAUCUACUCUUUCGUGGGGGAUAACGUAGGGAAACUUACGCUAAUACCGCAUACGACCUACGGGUGAAAGCAGGGGAUCUUCGGACCUUGCGCGAUUGAAUGAGCCGAUGUCGGAUUAGCUAGUUGGCGGGGUAAAGGCCCACCAAGGCGACGAUCCGUAGCUGGUCUGAGAGGAUGAUCGGCCACACUGGAGCGGGGACAGGGACCAGACGCCUACGGGAGGCAGCAGUGGGGAAUAUUGGGCAGUGGGCGCGAGCCUGAUCCAGCCAGACCGCGUGGGUGAAGAAGGCCUUCGGGUUGUAAAGCCCUUUUGUUGGGAAAGAAAAGCAGCAGGUUAAUACCCCGCUGUUCUGACGGUACCCAAAGAAUAAGCACCGGCUAACUUCGUG